UCAAGCGACUAAGUGUAUGUGGUGGAUGCCUUGGCGAUUACAGGCGAAGAAGGACGUCGCAGCCUGCGAAAAGCCGUGGGGAGCUGGCAAGCGAGCACUGAUCCACGGAUGUCCGAAUGAGGGAACUCACCCGCAAGGGUAUCUUGAAGUGAAUACAUAGCUUCAAGAGGCGAACGCAGCGAACUGAAACAUCUAAGUAGCUGCAGGAAAAGAAAUCAACCGAGAUUCUGAAAGUAGCGGCGAGCGAAAUUGGAAGAGCCUGCAAGUGAUAUUGAAUUCGAUACUGGAACGGUCUGGAAAGUCCGGCUACAGAGGGUGACAGCCCCGUACGGGAAAUUGGGUUCAAAGUACUGAGCUUGCGAGAAGUAGAGCGGGACACGUGAAAUCCUGCUCGAAGAUGGGGGGACCAUCCUCCAAGGCUAAAUACUCGUAAUCGACCGAUAGCGAACCAGUACUGUGAAGGAAAGGCGAAAAGAACCCCGGGAGGGGAGUGAAAUAGAUCCUGAAACCGCAUACAUACAAACAGUAGGAGCCCGCAAGGGUGACUGCGUACCUUUUGCAUAAUGGGUCAGCGACUUACGUUCAAUGGCAAGCUUAACCGAGUAGGGGAGGCGCAGCGAAAGCGAGUCCGAACAGGGCGACAUGAGUCGUUGGGCGUAGACCCGAAACCAGAUGAUCUAUCCAUGGCCAGGCUGAAGGUGUGGUAACACACACUGGAGGGCCGAACCGACUAGUGUUGCAAAAUUAGCGGAUGAGCUGUGGAUAGGGGUGAAAGGCUAAACAAAUCUGGAGAUAGCUGGUUCUCCCCGAAAACUAUUGAGGUAGUGCCUCGUGUAUGGCUCCAGGGGGUAGAGCACUGUUAUGGCUAGGGGGACAUGGCGUCUUACCAAACCAUGGCAAACUCCGAAUACUUGGAAGUCUGAGCACGGGAGACAGAGCACCGGGUGCUAACGUCCGGACUCAAAAGGGAAACAACCCAGACCGCCGGCUAAGGUCCCUAAUAUUGACUAAGUGGAAAACGAAGUGGGAAGGCUAAGACAGUCAGGAAGUUGGCUUAGAAGCAGCCAUCCUUCAAAGAAAGCGUAAUAGCUCACUGAUCGAGUCUUCCUGCGCGGAAGAUGUAACGGGGCUAAGUCAAUAACCGAAGCCGCGGAUUCGCAGCAAUGCGAGUGGUAGGGGAGCGUUCUGUAAGCCUGCGAAGGCGGAUCUGCGAGGACCGCUGGAGGUAUCAGAAGUGCGAAUGCUGACAUGAGUAACGUUAAAGCGGGUGAAAAGCCCGCUCGCCGCAAGCCCAAGGUUUCCUGCUCUACGUUCAUCGGAGCAGGGUGAGUCGGCCCCUAAGGUCAGGCUGAGAAGCGUAGCUGAUGGGAAGCUGGUUAAUAUUCCAGCACCGAUUUCAAGUGCGAAGGGGGGACGGAGUCCUGAAGGUCAUCCGGGUGUUGGAUAUCCCGGUUUACGAGCGUAGGAGGUUGACAGGCAAAUCCGUCAACGGAUCUCCAAGGCGAAGGAUCGAGGUUGAGAGAUCAACUGAAGUGACUGAAUGGGCUUCCAGGAAAAGCCUCUAAGCAUCAGCUUGGAAUUGACCGUACCGCAAACCGACACUGGUGGGCGAGCUGAAUAUGCUCAGGCGCUUGAGAGAACUCAGGAGAAGGAACUCGGCAAAUUGACACCGUAACUUCGGGAUAAGGUGUGCCUUUGUAGUGUGAAGGGAGAAACACCCCGAGCAUGAAGAGGCCUCAGAGAAUCGGUGGCUGCAACUGUUUACUAAAAACACAGCACUCUGCAAAGAUGAAAGUCGACGUAUAGGGUGUGAUGCCUGCCCGGUGCUGGAAGAUUAAUUGAUGGGGUGCAAGCUCCUGAUCGAAGUCCCAGUAAACGGCGGCCGUAACUAUAACGGUCCUAAGGUAGCGAAAUUCCUUGUC
rnacentral:rRNA from 1 species